UGCCGCAGCUAACGUGUUAAGUGUGCCGCCUGGGGAGUACGGCCGCAAGGCUAAAACUCAAAGAAAUUGACGGGGGCCCGCACAAGCGGAGGAGCAUGUGGCUUAAUUCGAUGCAACGCGAAGAACCUUACCCGGGUUUGACAUGUGACUGCACGUCCCGUGAAAGCGGGAUUCCUUCGAGGGUGUCACACAGGUGCUGCAUGGCUGUCGUCAGUUCGUGCCGUGAGGUGUUUGGUUAAGUCCAGCAACGAACGCAACCCCUGUGGCCAGUUGCCAGCGCGUAAUGGCGGGAACUCUGGCCAGACUGCCUGUUUACACAGGAGGAAGGUGGGGACGACGUCAAGUCAGUAUGGCCCUUACAUCCGGGGCUGCACACGUGCUACAAUGGCCGGUACAAAGGGACGCAAGACCGCGAGGUGGAGCAAACCCCCAGAGCCGGCCCCAGUUUCAUGAUUGGGGUCUGCAACCCGACCGCAUGAAGUCGGAUUCGUCUAGUAAGCGGCGCAUU
rnacentral:rRNA from 1 species